CCUACGGGGAGCUGCAGUGGGGAAUAUUGGACAAUGGGCGAAAGCCUGAUCCAGCCAUGCCGCGUGUGUGAAGAAGGCCUUCGGGUUGUAAAGCACUUUCAGUGGGGAAGAAAGCCUUGGGGCUAAUACCCUCGAGGAAGGACAUCACCCACAGAAGAAGCACCGGCUAACUCCGUGCCAGCAGCCGCGGUAAUACGGAGGGUGCGAGCGUUAAUCGGAAUUACUGGGCGUAAAGCGCGCGUAGGCGGUCUGAUAAGCCGGUUGUGAAAGCCCCGGGCUCAAUCUGGGAACGGCAUCCGGAACUGUCAGGCUAGAGUGCAGGAGAGGAAGGUAGAAUUCCCGGUGUAGCGGUGAAAUGCGUAGAGAUCGGGAGGAAUACCAGUGGCGAAGGCGGCCUUCUGGACUGACACUGACGCUGAGGUGCGAAAGCGUGGGUAGCAAACAGGAUUAGAUACCCGUGUAGUC
rnacentral:rRNA from 1 species